GACGAACGCUGGCGGCGUGCUUAACACAUGCAAGUCGAACGGAAAGGCCCCUUUGGGGUACCUAGUGGGUCGGCCGGGUAAGUAACACUUACGUAACCGGCCCUUGACUUCGAGCGGACUUCAGGAAACUGAGACUAAUGCCAGUUCGGCAUCAUUGCUUCAUGCAGGAGUUUUAAAAUCUUGGGGUGUUUUGGCUGGACUCGCGGUUUAUCCGCUGGUUGGUGGGGUAGUGGCUUACCAAGGCUUUGACGGGUAGCCGGCAUGAUAGGGCGACCGGCCACAUUGGGACUGCGAGACGGCCCAGACGCCUACGGGAGGCAGCAGUGGGGAAUAUUGCACAACGGGCGGACGCCUGAUGCAGCGAUGCUGCGUGCGGGAUGAUGGCCUUCGGGUUGUAAACCGCGUUCAGCAGGGGAGAAGCUUGUGGUGACGGUACCUGCAGAAGAAGCACCGGCUAACUACGUG
rnacentral:rRNA from 1 species